rfam:Xenopus laevis strain J chromosome 5S, whole genome shotgun sequence.
CCUUCGAUAGCUCAGCUGGUAGAGCGGAGGACUGUAGAACAAGAACAAAAAUCCUUAGGUCGCUGGUUCAAUUCCGGCUCGAGGGA